UACGUAGGUGGCGAGCGUUAUCCGGAUUUACUGGGUGUAAAGGGCGUGUAGGCGGGUUUGCAAGUCGGGUGUGAAAGAUCCAGGCUUAACUUGGAGAGGUCAUCCGAAACUGCAGAUCUUGAGUGCUGUAGAGGAUAGUGGAAUUCCUGGUGUAGCGGUAAAAUGCGUAGAUAUCAGGAGGAACACCAGUGGCGAAGGCGGCUAUCUGGAUAGUAACUGACGCUGAGGCGCGAAAGCGUGGGGAGCAAACAGGAUUAGAUA
rnacentral:rRNA from 1 species